UUUAACGAAUGAGAUUGGCAGAAAUUAAAA
rnacentral:piRNA from 1 species